rnacentral:rRNA from 1 species
AAGGUAGCAUAAUCAUUUGCCCCUUAAUUAGGGGCUAGUAUGAAUGGACUCACGAGAGCACAACUGUCUCUUAGAGACACCCCGAAACUAGGCCCCAAGUGAAGACACUUGGAUAAUGGUAAAAGACAAGAAGACCCCGUAGAGCUUUAUAACCCACGCUAGAAGCCCCCCCAUAUAAGGGGGGGCUUAAACUGGCACCGGUUUUGGCUGGGGCGGCUAAGAAUCCACACCAAAGCGAUGUCUCCCCGUCCACAACUGAAAAUUUGUAGAUACCCCACGCAAACGGCCUCACGCCACCACACAAUGAGCCGCAAUCACCUAAAAACAACCGCUUAAAACCUGCGCACAAGGACAUAGCUACCUCGGGGAUAACAGACUAAUCCGUUCGGAGAGUACACAUUGAGGAACGGGCUUGGCACCUCGAUGUUGGCUCGGGAUACCCGCAUGCGCAGCAGCCUAGCAGGGUUGGUUUGUUCAACCAUAAAAAUCCCACGUGAUCUGA